rnacentral:rRNA from 1 species
GCAAGUCGAACGGUUUUACUUCUUUCGGGGGGUAAGAUAGUGGCGGACGGGUGAGUAACGCGUAGGAAUCUGCCGUACAGUGGGGGACAACAGUUGGAAACGACUGCUAAUACCGCAUGAUACCUUCGGGUCAAAGGUUGCUUAGGCAGUCGCUGUACGAUGAGCCUGCGUUGGAUUAGUUAGUUGGUGGGGUAAAGGCUUACCAAGGCGAUGAUCCAUAGCUGUUCUGAGAGGAAGAUC